CAUCCCUGCAGGCUGGGGCUGGGGGUGCUGCUUGUGUACGGGGGUCUUUGCAAGCUGGAGCUGCAGGGCAGGGCGAUUCCCCCGCAGCCCUGCUCCAGCCUGAUGCUGUCGGUGCAGGGGACCUGGGGAGACUCCAGCCCCUGCACGGCGGGAGCGCCUCCGUUACUGCUGGAGCCAAGGCUGGCUGCAUAUCCGUGACCCACAUCUUCCCCCUUGCCAACCACGCGCUGACAGUCUCCUGAAAGCUGUGCAAAUGCAUGUGACCUGCGACUACUUUCGGGCUCCUCGGGCAACCGUCCCCUCCUCGUACUGAUGCACGGUCCUGGUACCACCGCAGUGGUUCCAGCUGUGGGCAGCCUGCGAGCUGCAUGUCUCUGCAGUGAUUUUUGUUUUGUCCUCCCCGUCAGCAGCUGAAACCCCAGACAGCUGUCGGUGCCCAUUUGUUCUCCCAGCCCAGCCUGGCUGUGCCCUAGCAAAGCUGGGGGGAGUUAUCCAUGGGGCAUCUCCCUUCCUCCAGGAGAUGCCCCUGGCACACGGCAGUCGCCAGGUCCCCCUUUCUGCCGGCCACGGCCUCCCUGCGUGUUGCGGAGCUGCUUA